UUCCUUUCUUUCCUUUCCAGAAAAACUGGCUACAUGAAGUCCCAUUCACUGACACAAGACCUUGAUUUUUUUUCCACCUUCAUAUGAACAAAUAUUUAACCACAAUCAGGCAGAGGUACAUGGGCAAACAAGUGAGGUGACCAUAAAAUACUGUACUUUUCCACAUUCACUGUAUAAAAAGCUACAGGAUGAAAAAAGUCAAGUUAAGUACAUAAAGGCAGAUAGAAGACGAUACAUUCUGCGCAAGAUAAUUCCUGUACUUCCACCAGAGUUUUGGAAUUUAAAUCUGUUAGACUAUGAUAUAUAAUUGAAUAAUCAGAACUACACAUUUGCAAGGUAGGAUUCACAGGAGGGAUUCUAUAUCUACAGCCAGAAAAUUCUUGCAGAAGACAGUUUCACAAAGACAGAUGAGAAUGUCUACUUGUAAGAUAAAAAAAGGAACUGCUGAGGCUUUUAAGGCUGCUUGAGACUUUAGCCUGUAUAAGGAAACAAAUCCACUGGUAAAUCCUUCUCUGAGCCAGUUCAUUACAAAUUGUGACUAACAGAAAGCAGGAAGUGCUAAGCAGGAGAUGCUUGUAAGGAGCUGGUCAAUAACAACAACAAAAUCAGUUAAACACAAUUUGAGGAAGAGAUUAUUGUGCAGCAGUUCUGGAGUCAUUAGAGUCUGAGAUCUCUAUUUGUUCUUUGAGAACGUUUAGCUCUAUUGUGCUACCCAGUGGCUGAAUUGGAAUCCCAUUGUACCCCAAAUAAGUAAAUAUACCUUACAAACUAAUUCAGUCAUGGUGAAAAGCUCUGAUUGAAGACAGCCAUUGACCUCAUGGCUCAUCCUAAAGUGUUUUCUCUACUUAAUCAAACUUAAAAGAGAUUUGGGAAUCCAGAAGAAUGACUGUCUGAUUGUAAGUAGGUAACACAAUAUUACCUAUUUACAGUAUUAUUGGUUGAAACCAAUGACUUGCAAAACAGAAUGUGUGGGCAAGUGACACAUCUUACUCUCAUCCUGUUCCCCAGGAGAAGCACGUGAGCAUGGCAAGAACCAGAAUACAAGCCAAAUUAGGAGAGAUUUCUUGGUCAGCUGAGGGCAGCAUCUCAUUUCAGAGGUGAGGGGAUCCUAAGAGAAGAAGAUAGACAACACAGGACUCACUAGAAACAGGUUUUCAAUGUUCAAGCAGAUUGAACUCACUCCAGAAAAGCUUUGCUCACAGAAAUGGCCUGAUACUAUUGCUUCAUGGUUUCGGUGUAACUGGUGUUGGUAGUCAAUAUAAUUUCAUAACUUCUUCCACAAGCUCUUUCUUCAUUUGUUUGUAUACAUUAUUUGAUGUAGGCCACCAGCCUAAGGUCUGCAUAGCAGGGUCUAGUU
rnacentral:lncRNA from 1 species